AUUGAACGCUGGCGGCAGGCCUAACACAUGCAAGUCGAGCGGCAGCACGGGUACUUGUACCUGGUGGCGAGCGGCGGACGGGUGAGUAAUGCCUAGGAAUCUGCCUGGUAGUGGGGGAUAACGUUCGGAAACGAACGCUAAUACCGCAUACGUCCUACGGGAGAAAGCAGGGGACCUUCGGGCCUUGCGCUAUCAGAUGAGCCUAGGUCGGAUUAGCUAGUUGGUGAGGUAAUGGCUCACCAAGGCGACGAUCCGUAACUGGUCUGAGAGGAUGAUCAGUCACACUGGAACUGAGACACGGUCCAGACUCCUACGGGAGGCAGCAGUGGGGAAUAUUGGACAAUGGGCGAAAGCCUGAUCCAGCCAUGCCGCGUGUGUGAAGAAGGUCUUCGGAUUGUAAAGCACUUUAAGUUGGGAGGAAGGGCAGUUACCUAAUACGUAAUUGUUUUGACGUUACCGACAGAAUAAGCACCGGCUAACUCUGUGCCAGCAGCCGCGGUAAUACAGAGGGUGCAAGCGUUAAUCGGAAUUACUGGGCGUAAAGCGCGCGUAGGUGGUUCGUUAAGUUGGAUGUGAAAUCCCCGGGCUCAACCUGGGAACUGCAUUCAAAACUGUCGAGCUAGAGUAUGGUAGAGGGUGGUGGAAUUUCCUGUGUAGCGGUGAAAUGCGUAGAUAUAGGAAGGAACACCAGUGGCGAAGGCGACCACCUGGACUGAUACUGACAC
rnacentral:rRNA from 1 species